CCAAGUCCUCCUGAUCGGGGCCUCUCCCAGAGUGGGUGUCAGGCCUUUACUGGCACUCGACGCUGUAGUUCUGAACGUCCUUGGAGUCGGGUUGUUGAGAAUGCAGCCCAAAGUGGGUGGUAACUCCAUCUAAGGCUAAAUACUGACACGAGUCCGAUAGCGGACAAGUACCGUGAGGGAAAGUGAAAAGAACUUUGAAGAGAGAGUUCAAGAGUACGUGAAACUGCUUAGAGGUAAACGGGUGGAUCCGCAAAGUCGACCCGGGGAAUUCAACUUGCCGUUUUCAGACGGCGGACGUUGCGAUAGGGAUCUGUAAAGACCCGUCCGGCGUUCGGCUGUCUUCGGCGAGUGCACUUUCCUCGGGUAGAGUGCCACGACCGGUUUUGGGGCGGUCACAAGCCAGUCGGGAAGGUGACUUCCUCCUCGGAGGAAGUGUUAUAGCCCGGCCAGGUCGACUGUUCCGAGACCGAGGAUUUGCCGCGUCUCACCUGCCAUCGGCGCUCUGUCUACGUUCGACUGGGGAAGCACUGCUUGCAGUUCUCUCCGACCGCGUGGAUGGAUCGGCUGAGAAGCACGAGGCGCUGCGGGUCAGUGGCGAGUCGGUCGGUCCUCCACCCGACCCGUCUUGAAACACGGACCAAGGAGUCUAACAUGUGCGCAAGUCAUGGGGUUCUGUACGAAACCUAAAGGCGCAAUGAAAGUGAAGGUCAACCUCCGGUCGGCCUAGGUAGGAUCCCCGUCGAGGGGCGCACUACCGGCCCGUCUCGACCACAUUGUUGGUGGGGCGGAGCAAGAGCGUACACGUUGGGACCCGAAAGAUGG
rnacentral:rRNA from 1 species